rnacentral:rRNA from 1 species
AGUGAACGCUGGCGGUAGGCCUAACACAUGCAAGUCGAACGGCAGCACAGUAAGAGCUUGCUCUUACGGGUGGCGAGUGGCGGACGGGUGAGGAAUACAUCGGAAUCUACUUUUUCGUGGGGGAUAACGUAGGGAAACUUACGCUAAUACCGCAUACGACCUACGGGUGAAAGCAGGGGAUCUUCGGGCCUUGCGCGAUUGAAUGAGCCGAUGUCGGAUUAGCUAGUUGGCAGGGUAAAGGCCCACCAAGGCGACGAUCCGUAGCUGGUCUGAGAGGAUGAUCAGCCACACUGGAACUGAGACACGGUCCAGACUCCUACGGGAGGCAGCAGUGGGGAAUAUUGGACAAUGGGCGCAAGCCUGAUCCAGCCAUACCGCGUGGGUGAAGAAGGCCUUCGGGUUGUAAAGCCCUUUUGUUGGGAAAGAAAAGCAGCAGGUUAAUACCCCGCUGUUCUGACGGUACCCAAAGAAUAAGCACCGGCUAACUUCGUG